rnacentral:rRNA from 1 species
AUUGAACGCUGGCGGCAGGCCUAACACAUGCAAGUCGAGCGAGCGGCGGACGGGUGAGUGAUGUAUGGGGACUGCCCGAUAUAGGGGGAGAACUACUGGAAACGGUGGCUAAUACCGCAUACUGUAGGAUAACCCAUAUGGGAUUAGCUAGUGGGGAGGGUAAUGGCUCACCUAGGCGACGAUCCCUAGCUGGUCUGAGAGGAUGAUCAGCCACACUGGGACUGAGACACGGCCCAGACUCCUACGGAGGCAGCAGUGGGGAAUAUUGCACAAUGGGCGCAAGCCUGAUGCAGCCAUGCCGCGUGUAUGAAGAAGGCCCUAGGGUUGUAAAGUACUUUCAGUCGGGAGGCGUUACCGACAGAAGAAGCACCGGCUAACUCCGUGCCAGCAGCCGCGGUAAUAC